CCUGGUUGAUCCUGCCAGUAGCAAUAUGCUUGUCUCAAAGAUUAAGCCAUGCAUGUCUAAGUACAAGCCGCUAGACGGCGAAACCGCGAAUGGCUCAAUAAAUCAGUUAUGGUUCCUUAGAUCCACUCCAUCCUACUUGGAUAACUGUUGUUAAUUCUAGAGCUAAUACAUGCACUCGAGCCUCGACUGCGCCCGCUUCGCGGUGGGUGCAGAAGAGGUGCUUUUAUUAGAUCAAAACCAGUCGGGGCGAGCGGCGGGCAACCGUCGCGCGACCCGUACCAAUUUUGGUGACUCUGGAUAACUUCACGCCGAUCGCAUGGCCUUCCGAGCCGGCGACGUAUCUUUCAAAUGUCUGCCCUAAUCAACUGUCGAUGGUAGGUUACGCGCCUACCAUGGUUGCUACGGGUAACGGGGAAUCGGGGUUCGAUUCCGGAGAGGGAGCCUGAGAAACGGCUACCACAUCCAAGGAAGGCAGCAGGCGCGCAAAUUACCCACUCCCGGCAACGGGGAGGUUGGUGACGAAAAAAACGAUACGGGACUCUUCCGAGGCCCCGUGAUUGGAAUGAGUACACUUUAAAUCCUUUAACGAGGAACCAUUGGAGGGCAAGGUCUGGUUGCCAGCAGCCGCGGUAACUCCAGCUCCAAUAGCGUAUAUUAAAGUUGUUGCGGUUAAAAAGCUCGUAGUCGGAUGGUCUGUCUUCGGCCGGGCGGCGCCGCUCUGAAUCAAGGGUGUUGCGUUUCACGCUCUGGGAGCCCGGGUGUCAAAGCCCGACUCUCUUCACGGUCGGACAACCAUCGCCGGAGUGUGGUGGCCGUGGGUUCGCGUUGUAUCGGUUCGCGUGGCGUUUCGUUCACGGUCGGACAACAUCGCCGGAGUGGUGGCCGGUGGGUCGCGUUGUAUCGGUUCGCGUGGCGUUUCGUUUCUUUCCUCUUCGGGGUUUCGCUCCGUCGAGGGGGGGGUGAUCGCUCGCGUUCAGUUGACGGCGGUUCGCUCCACCCAGUCAAUCGUUCGGGGUGCCCUUCACCGGGUGUCUCGGGCCGGCCGGCAACGUUUACUUUGAACAAAUUAGAGUGCUCAAAGCAGGUGUAUUCCCAACGCCUGAAUAUCGCAGCAUGGAAUGAUGGAAUAUGACCUCGGUCCGAUUUUGGCUGGUUUUUUUCUUUGGGACCGAGGUAAUGGUCAAUAGAGACGGAACGUGGCAUUCGUACUGCGGCGACAGAGGUGAAAUUCUUGGACCGCCGCAAGACGAACAACAGCGAAGGCAUUUGCCAAGAAUGUGUUCUCCCUUGAUCCAGGAACGAAAGUUAGAGGUUCGAAGGCGAUCAGAUACCGCCCUAGUUCUAACCAUAAACGAUGCCAACCAGCAAUCCGUCGGAGUUACUCCAAUGACUCGACGGGCAGCUUCCGGGAAACCAAAGUCUUUGGGUUCCGGGGGAAGUAUGGUUGCAAAGCUGAAACUUAAAGGAAUUGACGGAAGGGCACCACCAGGAGUGGAGCCUGCGGCUUAAUUUGACUCAAUCGUCAAUCCUUCCAGUGUCCGGGCCUGGUGAGGAUUGACAGAUUGAGAGCUCUUUCUUGAUUCGGUGGGUGGUGGUGCAUGGCCGUUCUUAGUUGGUGGAGCGAUUUGUCUGGUUAAUUCCGAUAACGAACGAGACUCUAGCCUGCUAAAUAGGUGACGGGUUUUAUCAAUUGAAACCGAAGGGAGUACGGAGGCGUCGGGAUCAGGUGGCGGGCGGUUCGGGUGGAAGGGGCCGGGUUUCUUUAGCGGGCUCUUUUCGCGGCGUGGAUUCGGUUGGAAGCAAAAAGGAUGGGGAGUUGGUGUUUCGGGGGUUCGGCUCCGGGCGUUGGCUUUUCUUUUCUUGCGUUUCCUGCCGGGCUGCGUCGCGAGGGGGUUUUGCGGGGGCUCGGUUCUUUUGUUUCUCGGUCGUCGUCAUCCCCGGCGAUACCUUCUGCUCUCGCGUCCCGUCACGCAGUCUUCCUUAGAGGGACAAGCGGCGUCCAGCCGCGUGACAGUGAGCAAUAACCAGGUCUGUGAUUGCCCUUAGAUGUCCUGGGCCGCACGCGCGCUACACUGAAGGAAAUCAGCGUGUUUCACCUCUCCCUGUCCGAAAGACCGGGUAACCGCUGAACCUCCUUCGUGGUUGGGAUUGGGGACUGCAAUGAUCCCCAUGAACCAGGAAUCCCUAGUAGGCGCGGGUCACUAGCCCGCGUCGAUUACGUCCCUGCCCUUUGUACACACCGCCCGUCGCUACUACCGAUUGAAUGAUUUAGUGAGGCCUUCGGACGGGCUUGUCGGGGUGCCGUCGCGUGGGGAGCAAUCUCUGCGCGCGCGGUGCCUACCAACGGCGAGACUGAAAGAUGGUCGAACUUGAUCCUUUAGAGGAAGUAAAAGUCGUAACAAGGUUUCCGUAGGUGAACCUGCGGAAG
rnacentral:rRNA from 1 species